CCGAUGCUUAUUCCUCAGGUACACGUCAUUGAAUUCCUCCCUGAGAAAAGAGGUUUACAAACCAUAGGCCGUCUUCCCUCACGCGGUAUUGCUCCGUCAGGCUUUCGCCCAUUGCGGAAAAUUCCCC
rnacentral:rRNA from 1 species